GUUAGAGUGUAGAGGUGGCAGGUAGCCUAGUGGUUAGAGUGUAGAGGUGGCAGGGUAGCCUAGUGGUUAGAGUGUAGAGGUGGCAGGUAGCCUAGUGGUUAGAGUGUAGAGGUGGCAGGUAGCCUAGUGGUUAGAGUGUAGAGGUGGCAGGUAGCCUAGUGGUUAGAGUGUAGGGACGGCAGGUAGCCUAGUGGUUAGAGUGUAGGGACGGCAGGUAGCCUAGUGGUUAGAGUGUAGGGACGGCAGGUAGCCUAGUGGUUAGAGUGUAGAGGAGGCAGGUAGUCUAGUGGUUAGAGUGUAGAGGUGGCAGGUAGCCUAGUGGUUAGAGUGUAGAGGUGGCAGGUAGCCUAGUGGUUAGAGUGUAGAGGAGGCAGGUAGCCUAGUGGUUAGAGUGUAGAGGUGGCAGGUAGCCUAGUGGUUAGAGUGUAGAGGUGGCAGGUAGCCUAGUGGUUAGAGUGUAGAGGAGGCAGGUAGCCUAGUGGUUAGAGUGUAGAGGUGGCAGGUAGCCUAGUGGUUAGAGUGUAGAGGAGGCAGGUAGCCUAGUGGUUAGAGUGUAGAGGUGGCAGGUAGCCUAGUGGUUAGAGUGUAGAGGUGGCAGGUAGCCUAGUGGUUAGAGUGUAGAGGAGGCAGGUAGCCUAGUGGUUAGAGUGUAGAGGUGGCAGGUAGCCUCGUGGUUAGAGUGUAGAGGUGGCAGGUAGCCUAGUGGUUAGAGUGUAGAGGAGGCAGGUAGUCUAGUGGUUAGAGUGUAGAGGUGGCAGGUAGCCUAGUGGUUAGAGUGUAGAGGUGGCAGGUAGCCUCGUGGUUAGAGUGUAGAGGUGGCAGGUAGCCUAGUGGUUAGAGUGUAGAGGAGGCAGGUAGUCUAGUGGUUAGAGUGUAGAGGUGGCAGGUAGCCUCGUGGUUAGAGUGUAGGGACGGCAGGUAGCCUGGUGGUUAGAGUGUAGAGGUGGCAGGUAGCCUAGUGGUUAGAGUGUAGAGGCGGCAGGUAGCCUAGUGGUUAGAGUGUAGAGGUGGCAGGUAGCCUAGUGGUUAGAGUGUAGAGGCGGCAGGUAGCCUAGUGGUUAGAGUGUAGGGACGGCAGGUAGCCUAGUGGUUAGAGUGUAGGGACGGCAGGUAGCCUAGUGGUUAGAGUGUAGAGGAGGCAGGUAGUCUAGUGGUUAGAGUGUAGAGGUGGCAGGUAGCCUAGUGGUUAGAGUGUAGAGGUGGCAGGUAGCCUCGUGGUUAGAGUGUAGAGGUGGCAGGUAGCCUAGUGGUUAGAGUGUGGAGGAGGCAGGUAGUCUAGUGGUUAGAGUGUAGAGGUGGCAGGUAGCCUAGUGGUUAGAGUGUAGAGGUGGCAGGUAGCCUAGUGGUUAGAGUAUAGAGGAGGCAGGUAGCCUAGUGGUUAGAGUGUAGAGGUGGCAGGUAGCCUAGUGGUUAGAGUGUAGAGGUGGCAGGUAGCCUAGUGGUUAGAGUGUAGAGGAGGCAGGUAGUCUAGUGGUUAGAGUGUAGAGGAGGCAGGUAGCCUAGUGGUUAGAGUGUAGAGGUGGCAGGUAGCCUAGUGGUUAGAGUGUAGAGGUGGCAGGUAGCCUCGUGGUUAGAGUGUAGAGGUGGCAGGUAGCCUAGUGGUUAGAGUGUAGAGGAGGCAGGUAGUCUAGUGGUUAGAGUGUAGAGGUGGCAGGUAGCCUCGUGGUUAGAGUGUAGGGACGGCAGGUAGCCUGGUGGUUAGAGUGUAGAGGUGGCAGGUAGCCUGGUCGUUAGAGUGUAGAGGUGGCAGGUAGCCUGGUGGUUAGAGUGUAGAGGUGGCAGGUAGCCUAGUGGUUAGAGUGUAGAGGUGGCAGGUAGCCUAGUGGUUAGAGUGUAGAGGUGGCAGGUAGCCUAGUGGUUAGAGUGUAGAGGUGGCAGGUAGCCUAGUGGUUAGAGUGUAGGGGCGGCAGGUAGCCUAGUGGUUAGAGUGUAGAGGUGGCAGGUAGCCUAGUGGUUAUAGUGUAGGGGCGGCAGGUAGCCUAGUGGUUAUAGUGUAGAGGUGGCAGGUAGCCUAGUGGUUAGAGCGUUAGACUAGUAACUGAAAGGUUGCAAGAUCAAA